ACCUCUGACUUCCUCAAUCCAUCUCUAGAGACUGCCUGUGGGAAACCUCUAUGCGGAACAGUUUGUCUCGUGUUGGACCUUGGAUCAGACCCUGGAAAUGUCUCGUCCCUAGGUACUACGUUACACGGACUAUUUCUGUGCAUAUGAACUUUGGCCUGGUCUGGCUGUCCCUUGUGAGUUUUCCUGCACAAGGAUUUAGGGAGAAGAAUUAG